rnacentral:rRNA from 1 species
AGCGAACGCUGGCGGCAGGCCUAACACAUGCAAGUCGAACGGAUCCUUCGGGAUUAGUGGCGGACGGGUGAGUAACACGUGGGAACGUGCCUUUUGGUUCGGAACAACUCAGGGAAACUUGAGCUAAUACCGGAUAAGCCUUUCGAGGGAAAGAUUUAUCGCCAUUAGAGCGGCCCGCGUAGGAUUAGCUAGUUGGUGGGGUAAAGGCCCACCAAGGCUACGAUCCUUAGCUGGUCUGAGAGGANGAUCAGCCACAUUGGGACUGAGACACGGCCCAAACUCCUACGGGAGGCAGCAGUGGGGAAUCUUGCGCAAUGGGCGAAAGCCUGACGCAGCAACGCCGCGUGGAGGAUGAAGUCCCUUGGGACGUAAACUCCUUUCGACCGGGAAGAUACUGACGGUACCGGAAGAAGAAGCACCGGCUAACUCUGUGCCAGCAGCCGCGGUAAG